AUGUGGGGGUGCGCGACUUGGGAGGCGGUCAAUCUCGUCGCUGUUGAGGACGUUCCGGCACCUGGUGUUGACGGGGCCGGCGGUGAAGAGGGCACCAGUGGCGGGGGUCCCGGCCGGUGUGGGAGAGGUGGGGCGGGGCACCGACAGCGGGGAGGUUUGGGCCACGGCACGACACCGGCGACGGAGAGGUUCGGGGCGGCACGACACAGGCGAUGGCGAGGUUCGGGGCGGCACGACACCGGUGGCGGGAGGUGUGUGGGUCCAGAGCGGGGCGGGGCAUGGACGGUUAGCACGCGGGCGGAUCCAGUGGGGGAGGUGCCGCUGGAGGCGGAUCCAGGGGGAGAAGGUGGGUCCGCGGGAGGAUCCCGUGGUAGAAAGCGGCGCAGUGGCCGGAUCGGGGACCGGAGAUGGUGCGGCGGCCAGAUCAAGGGUUGA
rnacentral:rRNA from 1 species